rnacentral:lncRNA from 1 species
AUGCUGGGGGACCCCCACGCUGUCAGCCUCCCAGAUCUUAAGGCGUACUUUCCGAUUCAUCUUUCUCCACUAGGAGGAGAGCUGGUAAUGGUAGCAAAAGUAGACCAGCAUCCAGAGGACAAAGAUGUCAAGGAGGAUGAUGGCGAGGAGGAAAGUGGUGAGGCAAAUGAUGGUGAGGAGGACAUAGACGGUAAGGAGGACAUAGACGGUGAGGAGGACACAGAUGGUGAGGACCUAGUUGGUGAGGAGGACAUACGUGGUGAAGGCAUAGAUGGUGAGGACAUAGAUGGUGAGGAGGGCAUUGAUGGUGGGAAAAUAGAUGGUGAGGAGGACAUAGAUGGUGAGGAAAUAGAUUGUGAGGAGGGCAUAGAUGGUGAGGACAUAGAUGGUGAGGAAAUAGAUGGUGAGGAGGGCAUCGAUGGUGGGAAAAUAGAUGGUGAGGAGGACAUAGAUGGUGAGGAAAUAGAUUGUGAGGAGGGCAUAGAUGGUGAGGACAUAAAUGGUGAGGAGGGCACAGAUGGUGAGGACAUAGAUGCUGAGGAGGUCAUAGAUGGUGAAGUCAUAGAUGGUGAGGAGGGCACAGAAGGUGAGGACAUAGAUGGUGAGGAGGGCACAGAUGAUGAGGACAUAGAUGGUGAGGAGGGCUUAGAUGGUGAGGACAUAGAUGGUGAGGAGGGCAUAGAUGGUGAGGAGGGCAUAGAUGGUGUGGAGGACGUAGAUGGUGAGGACAUAGAUGGUGAGGAAGUCAUAGAUGGUGAGGAGGUCACAGAGGGUGAGGACAUAGAUGGUGAGGACAUAGAUGGUGAGGAGGGCAUAGAUGGUGAGGUCAUAGAUGGUGAGGAGGUCACAGAGGGUGAGGACAUAGAUGGUGAGGAGGACAUAGAUGGUGAGGACAUAGAUGGUGGGGAGGACAUAGAUGGUGAGGGCAUAGAUGGUGAGGGCAUAGAUGGUGAGGACAUAGAUGGUGAGGAGGUCAUAGAUGGUGAGGUCAUAGAGGGUGAGAACAUAGAUGAUGAGGAGGUCAUAGAUGGUGAGGACAUAAAUGGUGAGGAGGGCAUAGAUGGUGAGGACACAGAUGGUGAGGAGGCCGAUAGUGAGGAGUCUGAUGGUGAGAGCAAUGAGACCCACGGCCUCCAGCUGGCUGUGAGCCAGAAAUGGUCUUUGGCCCCGCGCAGGCGCAAUCAGCUGGAGAUGGAGGCCAGCGGCUGCUCAACAGCCCUGCUCCCAGUCCCGCCCAGCCCAGCUCGACCUGGUCGCCUCCACCCGGUAAGGGGAAUUGCAGUAACAGGAAUUGCGGGAGUCGCCUGGGAGGGAGACAGCGCUGCAUCCCAGCAGGACUUCUCAUGGACAAGGCAGAUCUAAGCAAGUAUUCAAUGGACCUAUUUAUUCUCCAUCUGCAACAUUCAGAUAACAUGCUCAUCAACAUGACUGCAGCUCACAAUUUUCUGAAUUUUACAGCCACUUCUCUCAGCCUCACUGUGAGUCUAGUGAACUAUGUACCAACGUAUGCAAUAAAUGCUCAAAAAUAUUUGCUAGAUAUCCCUGUUUUGUGCUGGUCAAUUAGAAGAAGAACAAAAUCAGAAGCUGCUAGCCACUCUGCUUUUUUAGGGAAGUAAAAAUCUCUCCAUAAAAAUUACUGAAAUGCCAUAGACAGAACUGUAUGUGGGUAUUAAUAAAGUCUCUGAAACAUUAGAGACGUCUCCUAGGCUGACGUCCAAACUUACUAGGAAGACUGUCC